CACGCCUGGGCGGGGACGAGAAUUAGAGUGGUGCCAGCGUGCUCAGUGGAGGAGGCGGAGCCGAGUACCAAGGAAGACUCCCAUCAAGGACCAGAAAGCAAUAUUUCUCAUCAUCUAACAUCAAGGCAGCUGACAGCUGGCCCCUGCCUGUCUUAUCUUUCCAACUCAAUAGCAGACAAGACCUUCCUCAGAGAGACUUGGGGAUGAGGAAUGAACACAACAUUUUGCAAAACAGCACAAAGCAGCUUGGCAUCAUGUAAAAAGAAAAGCCAGCUUUAAAAAAAAAACAAUUGGAUGACUUCUUGUUGGAUCAGUUAGAUUGCACGUUACUCAUUUACAAAGGAAUAUAAAGAUGGAUGUCGUAUAUUUUCAGUGCUUGGACAAUAUUUAAGGACUUCUGGAAAAAUGUGAGAAGGACAGGUGGGUCUGGAGUAAUGGAUAGCCAGUGACCUUUCAUAACUUUUAGGAAGGAAAACCAUCAGCAAACCAGACAGCUCAACUGAGAUGUGUUCUUGUACAAAAAUAAAAUAAAAUAAAAAUAAAAAAGGAAAAAUGGGUGACAAGACAGUGCAGUCAGGAUUACAAAGAGACAUAUGUUUGUUCUAUUCCUUUGAUAACUGACUUUGCCUCUCAGAACCCAAAGUUUUCAAAUAUUCCAGUAUCUGCUUUGGAAAAAGGGGGAUGUGAUGGAGGUGGCACAUGGUCAGAAAAGUCAUUGCAAUCUAGAAAGAAAAGCUGUUAGCCAAAUUAUAUUAAAUAUCAUAUUAAUAGAGGAAAGUAUUCUAGCAAGUAUUCUAAAUCCAUCUCUAUUUUCCUUCUAGAGAGCUAAAUCCAUGUAAACCUUGCCAGAGCUGAUAAAAAACAAUGGACAAGCUGAGAAGUGCCCAGGUUUUUAAUUCACUGGGAGAUUUCAUGCAUUUCCCCAUAAAUUUGCCUGACAGCUCACAGUGGUCUCUCUUUAAACAUUUACCUUUACCAUUUGGAAGUAAUUAGCCUUACCACAUUAUUAGAGGCAGCUGGCACAGGUCAGUAGUAUGGGCAUUGGCUCAGCAACCAGUGCUGUAGUGGUAAAAAAAAAAGAAAAAGAAAUGAGUAAACACCUAAACUAAACUCCACAGUCCCCAGAGGAGAAGUGGGUAAACUUAAUUUGCCCUCGACUUCACUAGUGUCUGCAGUUACCCAGAUCCACUGGUCUAAGUCCCCAUAAUAAGGGGUGGGUGUUGAGAACCUACUACCCAGUUGUGCUGGUGCCUGCUGCCUUGGGAAAGAAAGGAUUUCGUCGCCCUCUGCUCUUGUAACCAUCACCUGUGCAAGAUCCAGUUACUCAGACGUGGCACAGGGCUCUAGAAUUUUACUCUUCAAGGUCCUGAUCCUGCACAAUUGAAGUUAAUGAGAGUUUUGCCAUUGAAGUCAACAAGGGCAUUAGGCCCCAGUGUAAAGAGUCUGGGGUCUCAUGCAUAGCAUCAAAUGGAACCGUAUCCCAUUAUCAGGACAGGAGUCAAUAAAGAUUUAGAAAAUCUGGUGCAGCAGAGUAGGCCCUAAGCUCAUGCAGAGCUGCAAUAUGCCUUCACUUAGGUUUCUGUGUUCCUCUUAGGCCUACAAUUAAAUGCUCAGU